rnacentral:rRNA from 1 species
GAUCAUGGCUCAGGAUGAACGCUAGCUACAGGCUUAACACAUGCAAGUCGGAGGGGCAGCAUGGUCUUAGCUUGCUAAGGCCGAUGGCGACCGGCGCACGGGUGAGUAACACGUAUCCAACCUGCCGUCUACUCUUGGACAGCCUUCUGAAAGGAAGAUUAAUACAAGAUGGCAUCAUGAGUCCACAUGUUCACAUGAAUUAAAGGUUAUUCCGGUAGACGAGUGGGG